AGAACGGACGCUGGCGGCAUGCCUAAUACAUGCAAGUCGAACGAACACUUCGGUGUUAGUGGCGCACGGGUGCGUAACGCGUGGGAAUCUGCCCUUGGGUUCGGAAUAACAGUUGGAAACGACUGCUAAUACCGGAUGAUAUCGAAAGAUCAAAGAUUUAUCGCCCAGGGAUGAGCCCGCGUAGGAUUAGCUAGUUGGUGAGGUAAAGGCUCACCAAGGCGACGAUCCUUAGCUGGUCUGAGAGGACGAUCAGCCACACUGGGACUGAGACACGGCCCAGACUCCUACGGGAGGCAGCAGUAGGGAAUAUUGGACAAUGGGCGCAAGCCUGAUCCAGCAAUGCCGCGUGAGUGAUGAAGGCCUUAGGGUUGUAAAGCUCUUUUACCCGAGAUGAUAAUGACAGUAUCGGAGAAUAAGCCCCGCUAACUCCGUGCCAGCAGCCGC
rnacentral:rRNA from 1 species